AUUGAACGCUAGCGGCAUGCUUAACACAUGCAAGUCGAACGGCAGCGCGGGGAGCUUGCUCUCUGGCGGCGAGUGGCGGACGGGUGAGUAAUACGUAGGAAUCUGCCUUAUAGUGGGGGAUAACCCGGGGAAACUCGGGCUAAUACCGCAUAAUCUCUCAGGAGCAAAGCGGGGGAACUUCGGGCCUCGUGCUAUAAGAUGAGCCUACUUCGGGUUAGCUAGUUGGUGGGGUUACGGCCUACCAAGGCGACGAUCCGUAGCUGGUCUGAGAGGACGAUCAGCCGCACUGGGACGGAGACACGGCCCAGACUCCUACGGGAGUCAGCAGUGGGGAAUAUUUGACAAUGGGGGAAACCUGAUCCAGCAAUGCCGCGUGUGUGAAGAAGGCCUUCGGGUUGUAAAGCACUUUCAGUGGAGAAGAAAGGCCCAAGGGUAAUAUUCUUGGGAGUUGACGUUAUCCACAGAAGAAGCACUGGCUAACUCUGUGCCAGCCGCCGCGGUAAUAC
rnacentral:rRNA from 1 species